rnacentral:rRNA from 1 species
GAUCAUGGCUCAGGAUGAACGCUAGCGACAGGCUAACACAUGCAAGUCGAGGGGCAGCAUAAAAGUAGCAAUACUUGGUGGCGACCGGCGCACGGGUGAGUAACGCGUAUGCAACCUACCUAUCGAGAGGGGAAUAACCCGGCGAAAGUCGGACUAAUACCGCAUAAAACAGGGGCACCGCAUGGUGAUAUUUGUUAAAGAGAUUCGCUGAUAGAUGGGCAUGCGUUCCAUUAGGUAGUUGGUGAGGUAACGGCUCACCAAGCCGACGAUGGAUAGGGGAACUGAGAGGUUGGUCCCCCACACUGGUACUGAGACACGGACCAGACUCCUACGGGAGGCAGCAGUGAGGAAUAUUGGUCAAUGGGCGGGAGCCUGAACCAGCCAAGUCCGCGUGAAGGAAGAAGGAUCUAUGGUUCGUAAACUUCUUUUGCAGGGGAAUAAAGUGCAGGACGUGUCCUGUUUUGUAUGUACCCUGAGAAUAAGGAUCGGCUAACUCCGUGCCAGCCGCCGC